AACGAACGCUGGCGGCAUGCCUAACACAUGCAAGUCGAACGAGACCUUCGGGUCUAGUGGCGCACGGGUGCGUAACGCGUGGGAACCUGCCUUUAGGUUCGGAAUAGCUCAGAGAAAUUUGAGCUAAUACCGGAUAAUGUCUUCGGACCAAAGAUUUAUCGCCUUUAGAUGGGCCCGCGUAAGAUUAGCUAGUUGGGGGGGUAAAGGCCUACCAAGGCGACGAGCUUUAGCUGGUCUGGGAGGAUGAUCAGCCACACUGGGACUGAGACACGGCCCAGACUCCUACGGGAGGCAGCAGUGGGGAAUAUUGGACAAUGGGCGAAAGCCUGAUCCAGCAAUGCCGCGUGAGUGAUGAAGGCCUUAGGGUUGGAAAGCUCUUUUACCAGGGAUGAUAAUGACAGUACCUGGAGAAUAAGCUCCGGCUAACUCCGUGCCAGCCGCCGCCGUAA
rnacentral:rRNA from 1 species